rnacentral:rRNA from 1 species
UACGGAGGGUGCAAGCGUUGUCCGGAAUCACUGGGCGUAAGGGCGCGUAGGCGGCUCGGUAAGUAGGGGGUGAAAUCCUGCGGCUUAACCGCAGGGCUGCCUUCUAAACUGUCGAGCUCGAGCACGGUAGAGGCAGAUGGAAUUCCCGGUGUAGCGGUGGAAUGCGUAGAGAUCGGGAAGAACAUCAGUGGCGAAGGCGGUCUGCUGGGCCGUUGCUGACGCUGAGGCGCGACAGCGUGGGGAGCAAACAGG